rnacentral:rRNA from 1 species
UACGAAGGGGGCUAGCGUUGCUCGGAAUGACUGGGCGUAAAGGGCGCGUAGGCGGCCCCUUUUGUCGCGUGUGAAAGCCCCGGGCUCAACCUGGGAGGUGCGCGCGAAACGGGGGGGCUUGAGUUCGGGAGAGGAGAGUGGAAUUCCCAGUGUAGAGGUGAAAUUCGUAGAUAUUGGGAAGAACACCGGUGGCGAAGGCGGCUCUCUGGACCGAGACUGACGCUGAGGCGCGAAAGCGUGGGGAGCAAACAGG